rnacentral:rRNA from 1 species
UACGUAGGGUGCGAGCGUUAAUCGGAAUUACUGGGCGUAAAGCGUGCGUAGGCGGUUCCUCAAGUCCGUUGUGAAAGCCCCGGGCUCAACCUGGGAAUGGCAGUGGAAACUAGGGGACUGGAAUCUGGCAGAGGGGGGUGGAAUGCCGCGUGUAGCAGUGAAAUGCGUAGAUAUGCGGAGGAACACCGAUGGCGAAGGCAAUCCCCUGGGCCUGCACUGACGCUCAUGCACGAAAGCGUGGGGAGCAAACAGG